rnacentral:rRNA from 1 species
CCUACGGGAGGCAGCAGUGGGGAAUCUUGCGCAAUGGGCGAAAGCCUGACGCAGCCAUGCCGCGUGAAUGAUGAAGGUCUUAGGAUUGUAAAAUUCUUUCACCGGGGACGAUAAUGACGGUACCCGGAGAAGAAGCCCCGGCUAACUUCGUGCCAGCAGCCGCGGUAAUACGAAGGGGGCUAGCGUUGCUCGGAAUUACUGGGCGUAAAGGGAGCGUAGGCGGAUAGUUUAGUCAGAGGUGAAAGCCCAGGGCUCAACCUUGGAAUUGCCUUUGAUACUGGCUAUCUUGAGUGUGGGAGAGGUAUGUGGAACUCCGAGUGUAGAGGUGAAAUUCGUAGAUAUUCGGAAGAACACCAGUGGCGAAGGCGACAUACUGGCCCAUUACUGACGCUGAGGCUCGAAAGCGUGGGGAGCAAACAGGAUUAGAUACCCUGGUAGUCCACGCUGUAAACGAUGAGUGCUAGUUGUCGGCAUGCAUGCAUGUCGGUGACGCAGCUACGACAUAAGACGACUCCGCCGUCGGGAGGUACGGUCGGCGAAGUAAGUUAAAACGUUAAAAUUAAGUAAGUUAGUUACGGUCGUUGAGACGUGCCGACGGACGACGACGAGGGAGGAGG